rnacentral:antisense_RNA from 2 species
UUUAGCGUUCGGGUUGUUAUCAACAAUCGCGUUACCCACCGCAUGCAGCAAGUGCGUUUUACCCAAACCGGUGCCGCCAUA